rnacentral:rRNA from 1 species
AGAGUUUGAUCAUGGCUCAGGAUGAACGCUAGCUACAGACUUAACACAUGCAAGUCGAGGGGAAACGACAUCGAAAGCUUGCUUUUGAUGGGCGUCGACCGGCGCACGGGUGAGUAACGCGUAUCCAACCUGCCCACCACUUGGGGAUAACCUUGCGAAAGUAAGACUAAUACCCAAUGACGUCUCUAGAAGACAUCUGAAGGAGAUUAAAGAUUUAUCGGUGAUGGAUGGGGAUGCGUCUGAUUAGCUCGUUGGCGGGGUAACGCCACAAGGCGACGAUCAGUAGGGGUUCUGAGAGGAACGGUCCCCCANAUUGGAACUGAGACACGGUACCAAACUCCGUACGGGAGGCA